rnacentral:rRNA from 1 species
GUAGUUAGCCGGGGCUUCCUCCUUGGCUACCGUCACUUCCUUCGUCACCAAGGACAGAGGUUUACAAUCCGAAAACCUUCUUCCCUCACGCGGCGUUGCUGGGUCAGGGUUCCCCCCAUUGCCCAAUAUUCCCCACUGCUGCCUCCCGUAGGAGUCUGGGCCGUGUCUCAGUCCCAAUGUGGCCGUUCACCCUCUCAGGUCGGCUACCCAUCGCUGACUUGGUGGGCCGUUACCUCACCAACUAUCUAAUGGGACGCGAACUCACCUCAAACUGGAUUACUCCUUUUACCCCUGAGCCAUGCGACUCCGUGGUCUUAUGCGGUAUUAGCAACUGUUUCCAGUUGUUAUCCCCCUGUCUGAGACAGAUUGUUCACGCGUUACUCACCCGUCCGCCACUCGAACAUACCCCGAAGGAUUUGUCCUCGUUCGACUUGCAUGUGUUAAGCACGCCGCCAGCGUUCGUCCUGAGCCAGAAUCAAACUCUGA